rnacentral:RNase_P_RNA from 1 species
GCAGGGCAUACGGCCGCGGCUCCUUUACGGGAGACGAGGAAAGUCCGGGCUUCACAGGGCAGGAUGCCGGAUAACGUCCGGCAGGGGAAACCCUCGGGAAAGCGCAGCAGAAAAGAACCGCCGCUCCGCGCGGUAAGGGUGAAAAGGCAGUGUAAGAGACUACCGCUCCGAUGGCAACACCGGAGGCCGUGCAAGCCCCAUCCGAAGCAAGGUCAAGAUGAGACGAUACGGCUGCCCGCUGUGUCUCAGGUGGACCGCUUGAGCCGUCCGGCGACGGGCGGACUAGACAGAUGGCCGUACAACGACAGAACCCGGCUUACCGCUCUGCCUG